rnacentral:rRNA from 1 species
UACGAAGGGGGCUAGCGUUGUUCGAAAUUACUGGGCGUAAAGGGCGCGUAGGCGGCGUGUCAAGUCAGGCGUGAAAGCCCCGGGCUCAACCUGGGAACCGCGCUUGAGACUGGCAUGCUCGAGUUCGGGAGAGGAUGGUGGAAUUCCCAGUGUAGAGGUGAAAUUCGUAGAUAUUGGGAAGAACACCGAUGGCGAAGGCAGCCAUCUGGACCGACACUGACGCUGAGGCGCGAAAGCGUGGGAGCAAACAGG